AAAAUCAUCUAUGGCAAUGCUUAAUGGGUAAAAAAAAUCUAUUGCAUUGCUUUGUUUUAUUCCCUCCAUAAAAUUUCACAAGACCUCCCAAAAAAAUCAUUUUGAUAAAACACUUUUUGAUCUCUUAAACCCAAAAAUUGAUAAUAUCCCUACAAUAAUAUCUACUGUGGAGACCGUAUACUGUAUCGCCGGUGUAGUGUGCUACAAUAUCUUCCAUGGUCUUCAAUUUCUAAGGAGUGACGCUACAAUACCGCCAGUAGUCUUCAAUUUUGAGGAGUGACGCUACAAUAUCGCUGGUAGUCUUCAAUUUCUGAGGGAUGACGCUACAUAAUUUUUGUGGUGUUGUAGUUCAAAGGGUCUUCAAUUUCAAUCGCUUCAAUUUGGGGAUUUUAAGAGUAUGUUGGGAAUUAUUCUUGGAGGUGGAGCUGGAACCAGACUUUAUUCUCUAACUAGAGAAAGAGAAAGGCCAGUAGUUCCACUUGGAGAAAAUUAUCAUUUGAUUUAAAUUCCCAUAAGCAUUUGCUUAAACAGUAACAUAUCCAAGAUAUAUGUUCACACACAUUCAACUCUGCGUCUUUGAAUUGCCACCUUUCACGGGCAUAUGCUUGCGACAUGGGUGGAUACAAAAAUGAGGUCUUUGGGGAGGUUCUUGCUGCUCAACAAAGUCCGGAGAACACCGAUUGUUUCCAGGUCUUGAUGACAAGAGAGCUAAAGAAAUGCCUUUCAUCGGGAUGCUAGGUAUAUAUUUCAUUAGCAAAGAUGUGAAGUUAAAACUACUUCGUGACAAGUUCCCUAGCGCCAAUGAUUUUGGUAGUGAAGUUAUUCCUGGUGCAACUUGACGAGUGGUGAGUUUACCACUCAAUCACACUCAUUAUUUGUGCUCAUUACCUUGUUAUGGGUGAAUAAAUGAGACAAUUGUGAUUAGAUGCACUAAUAUCCACUUAGGCAUAGAGUCAAAGGAUUGAAAAUAUGUGGAUUGGAGCUCAAAAUGAUCAGAAGGGGAGCAAGAAAGUGCAGUUGAAGACCUAAAAUAGAAUGGCCUCAGGUACUGCGGUCGCGAUCGGCUAACCACAGUUGCGGUAGUCAAGGAUGCUCAAUUAAUCAUGGUCGCAGAGAUAAACUGUAGUCACAUAGCCGCGGUCGCAGUCAGGCCUACACAAUCGCGGCCUAGCGGAGGAUUUCAGCCCAAGGGCGAAACUGUAAUUGCACAUGCUGAUCCUAAUUUGCCAAAAAUGACUCAAACCCUAUCAUUAUUUAAUCAAUUCCAUCUUUCCUAAUUUUUAGGUUUAGUUUUGUGUAGUUCAUAGCCUCCAUUUUUGGAGAAAAUAUUGUAUAAAUUUUGAGUGAAGAAUACAUUGGGGACUUUCUAAGUAGAAGAUUUGCUCACUUCCAUUGUUGAUAUUGUGGGAGAGCCAAGUUUGAAGCAACAUUUGCUUAAAUCUCCAACAAAUCAUUUCAGUGGAGAUUAUGGGUAUAUCAAAGCUUAUUUAUCUUAUGUAUAACUAAAUUUCCCUCGUGGGGUUAUGUAACACCCCGUAUUCAA